CGGGUAUCCUGGGCGUUCGGUGGACCAACGGGCUUGGACGGGAUGACGGGGUGCGCGGCACAACCUUCGCGCUUGAUCUGACCACCGGGGUGGCGUGGUGGCUGAUGUCCAGGGGUCUCAACGGGGAAUGCCGAGGACUUCGGGCGUUCACGGGGCUUUCUGGGCGUCAGAGGGUCCUCAACGCCAGACGGAACUUCGGGCUGUCCGGGAGGGCCACUAACCGAACGGAAGGGCGUUGUUCGGGCCUCCUAGGCGGCGGACGGGAUGCCUUACAGGUGUUCACGGGCCACGGGUGGCCACUACCAGGCUGAAUAGGCCUAUGAUAAUGGGUCCUGAGAAAGUGGGGUUAUAGGCGAGGUUCUCACAGGGCUACUGGGCGUAACGUUGACGGAAUCACCAGCUAAUUAUUUAGUGGUUCAUACCUGAUUCAAUAAUCACUUCACUCGAAUCAAAAUUCAACUUUCCGAUUGACUUAUGGAUAUUUCCAACGGUUAAUUUGACUAUACUGAAUUUGGCGCUAAGACGAACUAUUUGCCUCGAGAGGUCACAACGGAAAGACUUUGCUCUUCGCUUGGUUCGACCCAGUAGCCUGUCCCUCUUGCCUUCUUCCCAUUUUCCCUUUUAAUUUCCCUUUUUGACGUGGAUUGUGUCAUGGCAGCUCUUCCCCUUUUUGGCUCAUUUUGUGUAUGUGUUGUGUUAGGACUGUUCAGUGUAGGGUGAUUGUGUGUUAACAAAUUUUGUUCUGCUUUAUUCAUUAUCCUUUUAUAACAUUUACUAACAUACAAUAUAAUUUACUAACAAAAAAACACAUAAUAGAAUAUCAAUUUACUAACAAUUUACUCUAACUAUAUCAACAAAUACUAACAAAAUUUAUUCUUAAGAACUAAUAAACAUAGUUAGCGUUUCUCAACGGUAACACCACCUCCCAUCUCCCUCUAAAAUUAAUUGUAUAAUUUAUUAUCAAUUAAUUUUCAUAAAGUUUACAUAACGAAAUAGCAUAUCAGGUUUGAGUUGCAACUUUCAUGCAUUCGAUUUUCCCAAAAACAGACAUUGUCGCGUGUAUUCACCAGAUAGUUCAUUCCCUACAUGCUCGGAAUGCUAUCUUUACCGCUUCUAAUACCCGAUUCUGUUACUUGGCCUUUUUAUCUUCCAAAUUACCCAAAACAGUGAAGUUUUGUGAAAGAUUACCAACACAAUCUUUGUUCGUGUGAAAUAUCAUGAUGCAAAUCUACCGAAUGGAUGCUAUUUAUUGUUGUUUUGAUUUUAAUGUGCAUUUUUGGAUGGAUUUCUUAGGACUUGGUAUUACGGAGCUGUUAUUUGGAGUCAUAGUGCAGACUUAACGCGUUAAAAAAAUCUGCAAACUGCGGAGAAGAAUUUGGUCACUACUAGUCAUAAUUCAUUGGACAGUUCUAUUCUUCGCACACAAGCCACAAUUCCUCAUAACAACAGACUAUUGACGAGAUGAUAUUCUUCUUUUAUCGAACAGAGAUGGACCUACAACAAAAAACAUGUACCUACAUUCAUCUACAUCAACUUCACACUCGCUCUAACAAUUUUAGCUCUUCACAUAUACAAUACGAUCAUGAUCUUGAACAAUACUUUCGACCAACGCGGACAUGGUGAGGACGGCCGAAUUUCUACGCUCCUGAAUUUCGUGGAUCUGUGUUUGCUUCGGGUAAAAACUCGCGAUGCCGCAUUCGGAUUUUGAGAGUUACCUUUGGACUUCGACGACUCUGAUGCUACAACUUCGUGGAGCUGAGCGCUUCUACCACGAGCUGAAUUUUCGUGCGGUCUAUGGAACAUGGUCCAGUUAUUCUCGUCAAUGAUCCGUCCAUACUUCUUCAGUUUGGACAGCGACCUGACUCCGGCACCAGUCAUGGCGUUCUUAUAUUCGAAACGGAGAUUACGCCAGAUGAUGUUAAAUUUCCUGCGCUCAGAAAUCGACCGAGUCAUCGAGUGAAAAAUCUUCAUAAUGUCGUGAAAAAAAUCAGUAAAUUUUUCCCCUCUUG